rnacentral:rRNA from 1 species
ACAGUCACACAUUAGAUACCCCGGUAGUCCCAGCCGUAAAUGAUGCGAGUUAAGUGUGGGGGCAUCUACGAGAUGGCCCUGUGCUGUAGGGUAGCCGUUAAACUCGCUGCCUGGGAGUACGGUCGCAAGGCUGAAACUUAAAGGAAUUGGCGGGGAGCACCACAACGCGUGGAGCCUGCGGUUUAAUUGGAUUCAACGCCGGACAUCUCACCAGGGCGACAGCAGAAUGAUGGCCAGGUUGAUGACCUUGCUUGACAAGCUG